AUUGAACGCUGGCGGCAGGCCUAACACAUGCAAGUCGAGCGGAUGAAGGGAACUUGCUCCUGGAUUCAGCGGCGGACUGGUGAGUAAGGCCGAGGAAUCUGCCUGGUAGUGUGGUAUAACGUCCGGAAACGGGCGCUAAUACCGCAUACGUCCUUAGGGAGAAAGUGGGGGAUCUUCGGACCUCACGCUCUCAGAUGAUCCUAGGUCGGAUUAGCUAGUUGGUGGGGUAAAGGCCUACCAAGGCGACGAUCCGUAACUGGUCUGAGAGGAUGAUCAGUCACACUGGAACUGAGACACGGUCCAGACUCCUACGGGAGGCAGCAGUGGGGAAUAUUGGGCAAUGGGCGCAAGCCUGAUCCAGCCAUGCCGCGUGUGUGAAGAAGGUCUUCGGAUUGUAAAGCACUUUAAGUUGGGAAGAAGAGCAGUAAGUUAAUACCUUGCUGUUUUGACGGUACCAAAAGAAUAAGCACCGGCUAACUUCGUG
rnacentral:rRNA from 1 species